GCACAAAUAUAGCAAAGGUUCAAUGUCAGUGAUUGUCAUCAAAGAAUGACAUUUCAAUGUAUGGGGAAGUACUGGAAAACAUUCAAAUCAAGAUUGAAAAAACAAAUUAGAACUCAAGUUGAAUCAUCUGUGCAUAGAGCAUGCACUAUUACCCUUCUUAGACCAAAAAGUGUCAACUCUGAAGAAGUCUGGGUUAAAUUUGUUGAGGAUACUCUUUCUGCUGAUUUUCAUGUAAAGCUUGACUCUUAUUUUAAUUAUUGUCGUUUUAUACUAUGUUUUUUUUUUUCAAUAGGAGAAAAGUUCCAGGUUCAGCAACAUGCGAACUAAUCAGAAGCUUCUCCAUACUAUGGGUAGAAAGGGUUAUCUACGUGUGGCUUAUGAAAUGGUA
rnacentral:lncRNA from 1 species